CCUACGGGAGGCUGCAGUGGGGAAUAUUGCUCAAUGGGCGAAAGCCUGACGCAGCGACGCCGCGUGAGGGAUGAAGGUCUUCGGAUCCUUAACCUCUGUCAGCAGGGAAGAACGGUCACUGUGCUAAUCACCAGUGAAUUGACGUUACCUUCAAAGGUAGCACCGGCUAACUCCGUGCCAGCAGCCGCGGUAAUACGUAGGGUGCGUACGUUAAUCGGAAUUACUUGGCGUAAAGGGCUCGUAGGUGGUAUGUCAAGUCAAGGGUGAAAACCCCGCGCCCCACGUGGGAACUGCCGUUGAAACUGGCAAACUGGAGUGUGUGAGAGGAUCGUGGAAUUCGAGGUGUAGGAGUGAAAUCCGUAGAUAUCUGGAGGAACAUCGGUGGCGAAGGCGACUAUCUGGCACAAAACUGACGCUGAGGAGCGAAAGCGUGGGUAGCAAACAGGAUUAGAUACCCCAGUAGUC
rnacentral:rRNA from 1 species